rnacentral:other from 1 species
GAGACCCUGCUGUGAUCGUGGUCCUUGGUGAAGUUUGAGCCAACACCAAGACAUAGGGAGUCUGGACUCCAGCUGCGGAAUGCACGCCCUUAGCCGCGAGGAAGGGAAGCGUGAAACAGCUGGGAGGACACCCACCUGAAUGAGACCGGUUCUAAACUUACCGGCACUCACGACACGGCGGGGCUUUC